CCUACGGGUGGCAGCAGUGAGGAAUAUUGGUCAAUGGGCGCGAGCCUGAACCAGCCAAGUAGCGUGAAGGAUGACGGCCCUACGGGUUGUAAACUUCUUUUAUAAGGGAAUAAAGUGAGCCACGUGUGGCUUUUUGUAUGUACCCUAUGAAUAAGGAUCGGCUAACUCCGUGCCAGCAGCCGCGGUAAUACGGAGGAUCCGAGCGUUAUCCGGAUUUAUUGGGUUUAAAGGGAGCGCAGGUGGGUUGUUAAGUGAGUUGUGAAAUUUUGCGGCUCAACCGUAGAAUUGCAGUUGAUACUGGUGGUCUUGAGUGCGCGUGAGGUAGGCGGAAUUCGUGGUGUAGCGGUGAAAUGCUUAGAUAUCACGAAGAACUCCGAUUGCGAAGGCAGCUUACCGGA
rnacentral:rRNA from 1 species